AUAAACCUUUGCUACUGCAGGUGUUAGAAAAGCACCUAACUGAUGACUAGAUCUAUAUUACCUGAUUACCUUCCAGCUGACUGGAGAUGUCCCAGAGCCAUCCUAAAAAAAAGGGUUAAAAAAAGGGUUGGGCUAUAAAAAAAACUAUUGAACUAUAACAUAACAUCUGAGAUUUUCUUUGUAAACUAAGGUGAGAACUGUAUGCAGGACUAUCUAGGUGCCACUACUGCUUGUAGCACUUUCCUGCCAAAAGCCCCUUCUGCAGAGGCAAGGGUUUACCUGGAAUGUUCCAGAUAUUGUGCAUCUUGUUAAGAAAGCACCUAACUGAAGAUUAGGUAUAUAUUGCCUGAUUACCUUCCAGCUCAUGCAGCUUAAUAGAUUUACCUACAGUAUGCAAGUUAAAUCACCUCUUGUUAACAGAGGAGACCUAAACUGAAUCAUAAGUCUGUAUUGCCUGAUCUUCCAGCUGACUCAUCUUUCGAUUUGCCUGCAGUGUGCAAGGUGUGUUUAACCACAACAUAUGUUGUAUGCAAAGUACGGGUCAUUAUUACAAUGACCGCUGGCAGGUCUGGACUGGGAGUCAAAAUAGGCCCUGACAUUCCAAUACACAGAGGCCCAAUCAGCUCCUCACCAGCCCACUAAAUAGUGACUUUCUACGGCAUCUUAUGGCAGCCCGUCUGGCAUUUUCCAGAAUCCCGAGAUUGCCAGUCCGUGCCUGCGCUGCAGCACGUAAAUAUGAUGUGCAUCAAGACAAUGCAUCACCUUGUAAUGUUGUUUUGAUAUCUUUAAACUUUCUGUAGUUCAUCUUUAGCACUAUUUGUUGUAGUCCAGCCAAUUCAACACGAUAUGUUGUAUAUAGUUUCAUCAACUUGUUAGCUAUCUUGUUAGUUGGUCUUCUAUAGGCAUUUUUACACAAUGCUAUCUUGUCUAGUACUUUACACUGUAUAUUCGGACCAAGACCAAGAUUGCAAUACGAUUUAUUAAUUACUGAACUCAUAUCCCUCCAACACCUGUAAAUCAGUGACAGAUAUAUUAUAAGCAUGCCUUUUUCUUGCAAUAUGCUUUGACACCGUAACAUCAGAUUGUGAACACUAAUACAUUAUAACUCCAUGUUUGUAUGCUCUGGGGGACGCCAAGCUGAAACUUAUUUAUAUAAUAAAACCAUACGAUCUUAAGGGUCAUGGGCAGCAUUCAUUGUGAGACCGGGGUAUCUGGCAUCCACCGGGGUUACAACGUCCUGGUCCCCUGUAAUAUCAAGGGCAAGUGCUGCUGCCGUCAAGCCAGCCUGCAUCCGAGGGCCCCACUGGGGUUUUACUGUUGUACUGCCAGCCCAAUGCGAGUGCCAGCUUUGCAUGUAAUCCUCCUUCUAUUAUCUAGUUGCCAUCCCUGCGAGCUUGUUACCCGAGUCAAGGUUCUCAUGGCAGAGAUAGCCAUGCUAAAAUUUGCUCAGCAUCUGAGCCUUUAAUACUGUGAUUUCUUAAUACUGCUUUCUUGAGUUUAUACAUACAGUUAGAAAUGUAUGCUAGAAAGGAAGGUGGGUAAUUUGAAACAUCACAGUUGUAACAAACAAUGAAAAGUGUAGGUACAUUUUUCUGGAUAAGGGGUCUUUUUGUAAUUUAGAUCUACAUACCCCAAGUCUCCUAAAAAUCAUUUAAAAAUGAGUUAAACCUAAUAGUAUUGAUUUGCCUUCCAUAAGGAUUAAUUCUCUUAAUUGGGAUCAAGUACAAAGUACUGUUUUAUUUCAGAGAAAAGGGAAAAUUAUUUUUAAAAAUAGGAAUUAUUUCUUUAAAAUGGAGUCUGAGAGAUUGCCUUUCUUUAAGUCUGAGCUUCCUGGAUACUGGAUUUCUGAAUAACAGAUCCCAUAUUUGUACAAUAAGUGCUAUGGUGCAUAAAAGACAACAGCGGACCUAACCAGAUUUCCAAAUGUAGGUGAAAUAUAGUCUGGCAUAAUAAAAAAAUAAUCAGUCAAAGCUAAAACACCUUCUCUGCUAGAAGACAAAUUAAGGAUUUGCUUUGGCCAGACAGGGCUGGAACUUGAGGCAGGCAGAAGAGGAAAGUGCUAGGGUGCAGUGUUGGGUGGGGCACUAGGCAUGCACUCUUUUCUGUCACCUACCCCUAGUCAAGGCCCUUGCACUGCUCCCCCCACAAGCCAUUCCCAGUACCCCCACAUCAGCACAGAGGGGAGUAAGGUGACUAUCCGGGUUAGGCACUUGGUCAGGCACUUGGAUUCAGCUGAAUCCUGGAUUUGGUGCAUCCCUAGAAAGAACACCCUCAUCAGUGUAUAUUUGUUAUGGAGACUUCACCUUCUUUGAAAAGAACAUUUGAUUUUUUAACAUGAAGAUAAAUGAACUUUAAAAUGUUAAAGUAUGCUAUGUGUAUUCAGUCUUUUGUUGUCAAAGAUUAA